GGACUACUGGGGUAUCUAAUCCUGUUCGCUACCCACGCUUUCGUCCAUCAGCGUCAAUCCAUUAGUAGUAACCUGCCUUCGCAAUUGGUAUUCCAUGUAAUCUCUAAGCAUUUCACCGCUACACUACAUAUUCUAGUUACUUCCUAAUAAUUCAAGUUUAACAGUAUCAAUGGCCGUUCCACCGUUGAGCGAUGGGCUUUCACCACUGACUUAUUAAACCGCCUACGGACCCUUUAAACCCAAUGAUUCCGGAUAACGCUUGGAUCCUCCGUAUUACCGCGGCUGCUGGCAC
rnacentral:misc_RNA from 1 species